rnacentral:lncRNA from 1 species
ACUAUCUUCCAUCAUGGUCUAUCCCAAGAGACUGGCUAUAGUUCCCUGUGCUAUAGAGUAGGACCUCACUGCUUAUCCAUUCUAAAUGUAAGUUUGCAUCUACUACUAUACAAUUCUCACCUCAGUGAGAACUCUCUACUUCCUGUGUAGAUUGCAGGCACCAGUUAAAUUUGCUGAACUCAUUAACUCAGUUAAGUUAUACCAGACCUGUAUUAUGUCAUCUACUUUUUUCUCCAAAUGCAAAGAAGCUUUCCUUUCUUAAAAAAUAAAAUGUCAAAUAUUUAAAUAAGCAUAGAGCGUGAGUCUCACAACUUGGUAUCUUCCCAUUUCUAUGAACAGAAACACUAAUUUCAUAUAUACAUGUAUACAUAUAUGUACACGUACACACGUAUACGCAUAUAUACACAUAUAUAGGUAUAUAGCCAGGUGUCUUCAUCUCUAUUUUGUUCAAGUUCUUUGUCUUUGUCUCAUUUCCCAUUCUCGACACCUAUAUUCUGAAACUAUUCCACCCUCCAAGCUCAUCCUGCAAUAGCUGACCUUAUUCCUUCUAUAACCCUGUCCUCUACACUGAGGAAAAUCCCAAUGCACUAUACAGGACUGGCCUAGGCAGACAGAUGGCCUGGAACACUACCAACAGCCGAGCAUAGAAAAAGAAAGUAGCAAAGGGGGAAGCAGUCCAGUAAAAAUCCAGCAGUGUACAGCAGCACUGAGAUCAAGAUGAAAAGUACAUUUCAGGUGUCCAGCCUUAUCUUCCUUUUUGUUAAGUUAGAUGUGACUGAUCCAAAUGACAUUUUCUGAGGGAUAGGGUAUUAAAAUAAAUCAACUCAAUUCAAGCGUUUUGAAGUAUUUACCCUGUGACAAAGCCUAUGUCAGGAAGAGGACAGAGUAGUGGGCAGGUCACAAUCUCCACCUCUAAAAUGUAGAGGAUCCCUUCAAACAAUAUUCUGGAACCAGAAGCAAGUGGCCUGUCCCGACUGUUGAGGGAGGCAAUGUCACCCGUGUAACAGAAGCUCCUUUAGAGUUCACCCUGUGCUUUUUAACUGCCAUGGUGGUGAUUUAAACUGCCAGUCAAGGAAGAGUGUUUUCUGACUUGUUUCCAUAAACUCUGACCUAAAAUACUGGAAAUCCUGCCAAUAACUCACUAAGGAGGGAAAAAAUGCAAGACCUGUCUCUGCUCCUUUUAAUUAGCUCAGAAAUCUGGCAACCAGAAACCCUAACACGGAAGAGACAAAAUAAAGUCUUAUUUAAAAUACUGUGGGAGGCUGACUCUGGAACACUGGCCAGGCCCCUUUUGGGACAGGGGAGGCAGCUGGGGUGAAUGAUAAGCAAGAAGUAGCUCAGCUCCAAGUUCUUAUUUAAAUUCCCCUGUGCAUCUAGCAUCAACCUGCGCUGAUUUGCAUUGAGGCCAAAGACCCCAGAAUGGGCAGGCUGACAGAGCAGUCUGAACACCAGUGCGUCUUCUGGUCAUCUUGGCAGUUCUUUCUUCUUCAGGUGUGACAAACACAACUCCUGAGAGGCACUGGCAGGCUUCCAGGUUCUGCACUGUGUGUGCUUUGAAGGGAAUGACAGAGAUGCUAGGAACACGUCAUUAGAGCAUACUUUCUUCACACUCUGAUUUUCAUCUGCAAUUUUUAUUCAUUCAAAAUUCUCUGCUUCAUCAAAGAAAUGAGUGCAUUGUCUAGUGCACCACGCCCCCUCUACAGACUCAAGCUCUUGCUCUCCUCUUCAGUCCACAUACCCAACACUAGCCCUAAACCCUAAAAGCUUUCAUUAAAAAAUGCAAACGUGGAUGUGGAGUGGGGGCUUCUUUUUCCUCACACCCAUUAUUCAAAGUCUCAGGAAGAGAAGGUAUUAGGAUUUCUUUUCUAAUCCUCCUAGCUAGCCUUGAAAUUACCCAAGCCCACCUAUCAUGCUGGUUGUAAGUGAAAACAUGAAUACAUAUAUGGUGCCUCUUACCUCAAAGAUGAUGUUUUAAAGUAGGAAGAUAGAAUGGAAAUAUUUACAAAAACAGUGAUGCAAGAUUUCAAGACAAGUUAUACACACACAGGUACAUGCACACCCAUACACAGUGGAAACACUGUAACAGUGCAGUGGCCAUUCAUGGGGGAGUAUAGCAACUUGAAGCUUUUAGGAUACAGAGCUAGUCUCUCAGGAAGAAAUCAUGAUAGAGUAAGUAGUGAAGAUGUAAAGGGCAUUUCAGGUGGGCUGAGUUUAGUGAAUAAAAGCAAAAUAGGCAUGUUUGAGGCUAUUCAAAAAUGAACAUGGAAUUUUAGAGAGAUUAUUGUAAAGUAUCUUAACCACUCACCACUUUUCCCUAAAGAUUAAACUCAUUGCCUAGUCCUCUACAAUGGAGCAUCCAGACAGAGCUGCCACUGACUCC